UCCACUUACCGUCGUCUCUAGAUCUGCCUCUGUAUCACUGAAAGAGAUGAGAACACCUCCGCCUCUAAUGUGAAUUGUGAAGAUGCAGAACCUCGUGAAAACCCUAACAAGCAAAACCGCAUUAUUUUUCAAAUCCAAGAACUCCCAUAUUUUCCACCGUGAAUCCAAAACCAGAAACUCCAAUCUGUCAUACACAAUCCCUAAUCGAAGUGAUGAAAAUGAUGAGUGUACCUGAAGCACAUCAUUCCCUUUUGUGUUUCCAGUGAACUGGGAAGAGUAAAAAUGCAAGCGGAUGAUAUUACACCGGAAAAAGAUAAACAUGAACUGGAUACACCACCAUCACCACCACCGAUGAUAACAAUACCCUCCUUACUCUCUUUUGGACUUAUUUAUGUGUGUGUUUCACAAUUUAAUGUUGGUUGUUAACUAAUCUUUAUCUGUCAAUAUAUUGUUCUUCUAAUUGUAGUACAAUCUUGAGUUCAGAGAUCCUGAUUGAACUUUUUUUUCUGAUUAGUUUUCUGUAGCUAUGAUUGAUUUACAUUUAAACCACAUCGUAAAAAUCUAAACUCAAGAUUUUGUUUUCGUUGAAGUCAUUGAAAUUAACAUUUAUGAUCACUAUCAAUUGAUUUCUAGGAUAGAUGUUGCAGAGAUAGAUUAUUUUUCAUCGUGAAAGAAAGAAAAAUUAUUGAGAGUAAUGUUUCUUUAUAUUGGUUGCUGAGAUUAAAGGACUGUGCAGUGAUAAUCAGGGGAUGAUGUACGCUUUUGGGAGUUGAAGUUACCCUUCGCAUGUAUCAUUCCUGAGAACUUCUCCAUUUUUUCUUUGGUAGAUUUCCCUGCAAUAUAAUCGAUGUUCUUUGAUGUUGGUGUAUCAGCUUCUUCUGCAAUUUGCUUUCGAUUAUGUAACCUUAUUCUCAAAUAAAAUUAUCAGCUCUUGUUUUCAUUGAGUCUUAUCGGUUCUCUGUGGGUUAUGGAAGAGGAGACUAGUGCUACUACUGAAAGCUUUUCUUUUACAUAUGAUUCACUUUUUUUAGUUCCCUUUAUUUUCUGUUCCCUCUCAUAGUAAGGACCAGUGCUACUACUGAACUCAGCACCACUAUAGGUAUGCCUCUCCAUCUCAUCCUUACACUUUGACACACUUAUCUUGAAAUCAUAUAUGGAAUAACCUGUCAAUUCUAUCUUUUUUUUUAUUAAUGACCAUGACUUUUUGGCGCAAUUUAAUGAUCUUAUUAUUUUCCUAUUUGUUUCUUCUUCUUCGUCUUGCUAGUUACAUUAAUAACUGAUAAAUAAUUUGCUUAUUACUAAGAUUGGCAUUAUAGAAUCCAAUUACAUGAACAUUCGUGUUCUUAUUUACCGCUUGCUCAUCUGCCUGGCGUAGCUCAUACGCUGGAGGUCACCCCCCAUAUGCCCCAUGACUCCACAAGUAAUAGAUGUUUCCGAGCGACAGUUAGAUCUUCUAGAGCUCAUCCAUGUGUCUGAUACUUAAUUAUCUUUUUUCUCUAUAGAAUCGAUGUUGUACAUUGGGAUUUUUUAGGGACGGAGGGAAAUUACUUGCUUUCAUUGAAUAGUUGCCGCAACAUUGUGGUUGUCUGAGAACUAAAUUGCAGUUUUGAACAUCUAAUACAGUGGUUUAGUUGUUAAUACAAUUGUAUUCUGUUUGGGUUCAAAUUUUUCUAAUUUUGGCACUGCAUUUUAUGUUUUCUUGGUAAUUCAUAGAUCGCCUACAAUCUGCUUAAGAGACUUGUUUUGCUUCAGAAGGAAAAAGCUAAGAGAUUGAAAAUAAGGUACUUAAUUAGAAGCUACACACAGAGAUGUAGAGGAAACUGUGCUCAGGUGGGAAGACUUGGAAUUAAAGGUGAUAGUUUGGUGGUUAAUCGUCUUCGAAGAUCUAACAGUGGUGAUGAAUAUGUGUUCCAUGUUUUUACUUAAUGAUCUACCUUUAGGAAUUUUCUCUGGAAAUGUAAUAACAAUAAUUUUUCAAUGAUAAAUAAAGAGUAU